AUCCUGGCUCAGAUUGAACGCUGGCGGCAUGCUUUUACACAUGCAAGUCGAACGGGGUUGGGAGCUUGCUUCCAAUCUAGUGGCGAACGGGUGAGUAAUACAUCGGAACGUACCGUGUAGUGGGGGAUAACGUAGCGAAAGUUACGCUAAUACCGCAUACGAUCCACGGAUGAAAGCAGGGGACCUUCGGGCCUUGUGCUAUACGAGCGGCCGAUGUCUGAUUAGCUAGUUGGUGAGGUAAGGCUCACCAAGGCGACGAUCAGUAGCGGGUCUGAGAGGAUGAUCCGCCACACUGGGACUGAGACACGGCCCAGACUCCUACGGGAGGCAGCAGUGGGGAAUUUUGGACAAUGGGCGCAAGCCUGAUCCAGCCAUGCCGCGUGUCUGAAGAGGCUGGUGUAGAUUGUCGUAGGGACGGUACGAAAA
rnacentral:rRNA from 1 species